GGAAUAUUGGACAAUGGGCGCAAGCCUGAUCCAGCCAUGCCGCGUGUGUGAAGAAGGCCUUCGGGUUGUAAAGCACUUUUGUACGGGAAGAACAGCACUCGGUUAAUACCCUGGGCUAAUGACGGUACCGUAAGAAUCAGCCCCGGCUAACUACGUGCCAGCCGCCGCGGUAAUACGUAGGGUGCAAGCGUUAAUCGGAAUUACUGGGCGUAAAGCGUGCGCAGGCGGUUUUGUAAGACAGGCGUGAAAUCCCCGGGCUCAACCUGGGAAUUGCGCUUGUGACUGCAAGGCUGGAGUGCGGCAGAGGGGGAUGGAAUUCCGCGUGUAGCAGUGAAAUGCGUAGAUAUGCGGAGGAACACCGAUGGCGAAGGCAAUCCCCUGGGCCUGCACUGACGCUCAUGCACGAAAGCGUGGGGAGCAAA
rnacentral:rRNA from 1 species